UCAACUCAAUUCCAGCUCAGGCGAAUCAUGUCACUUUCUCAGAUGUUUCCUCAUCUGUCAAAUUGAAUAUAAAUAGGAUCUUCCUUGUACUGUUGCAGGUUUCAUCAUGAGCUCUCAGAACCGAGACCAGAACACACUGGGAGUCUGGGGGACACAGGGAUCCAGGGGCACCAAGAACCAAGCGAACGGCACUGGUUGGUAAAGACACUCAGAGAAGAGAAGUGACUUUGAGUCAUAGACUAUCUGACACAAAUUUUAGAAACAAUCCCUCAGGGCUUCACAGCAGGCAGAAGAAAGACUAGAAGCUCCUUCUAGUGACUUACAAGUACCCUCACCCCACAAGGUGAAGUGUCUCUGCAGGGGGAAGAGGAAUGGCCAUGUCUUGUCAUCCCAUGUGGUGCCUGGAGCAGUGCUGAGCAUUUUUAAUACGUCCACUCACCUCCUCCCAAGGACCAGCCUGGAAACAAGGCUCGGGAAGCUUCAGCACAGGCUCACAGGAUGGCAUUUACAAAUGGUGGAGCUGGUGUUCGCUUCCAGCUGGUAUUUGACAAGUCUGUGUGUUAAGACGGAACCUCCCAGGAUCCAGAGUUUUGUUCCGUCUUAUGCUUUGUUUUCCACACGUUUUCUUUCUAUUGUCAACGGACUCAAGACUCCAGAUUGAUAAUCAAGACGAUGCUUGGUUUAACUCAUUCCUAUGAGGCUACUCCAGGAGGGCUGUGCUGGCAAUUCUUAAGCCCCCAUUUGGAGGCUCACCCUGGGCAAGGACUGGAGCUAAGGUCCAAGGAGAAAUUGAGUUCUUAGGAAGAAGAUGCUGACAUGGAGUUUGGAAACAAGAUGUCCAUCGGAGAUCUACACCAGAGAGAGGAGUGCGUCACCUUAUUCCCAGUAAGAAUUGCAACCCAUCUGGCAGAGCCUCCCUUUCACCUCUCUGGAGGUUGGACUGGGGAAUUGUCAUUUACCGUGGUGAAGGACACAGAGCAGCCCCCAGAAGAAAUUUCCCAAAGCACCCAACUCCCUCCUCAGAUAAAGCAAAAAGCCUGUCUCCUGGUACUCCAUCUUCAGGGAUGAGAAAAGAGUUUCCUUCCUUCGUUUCCCGGAUGAGAAGAUGCCUGUGCCCCUGGGUCUGAGUCCCUUGUUGGUCUGAGAAGGCCCCAAGUUUCUCCCUCUUGAAGAAAACAGACAGUUCAUCCCCAGGACUUUCUGGAGACAGAGGGGAAUUGGGCCUGGAGGGACUCAGUCAUGUUUUGGUUUUGGGACUGUAGGGGCAAUGGGGCAUUCUUACUUAAACCCAGGUUAACUGCCUCACCAACCUUUGGGGUCAUGCCCUGGGACAUCUUUGUGUCAAGUUGGGAGCCGAAAUAAAUAAAUAAAUAACUCCCUCCCUC